rfam:Stegodyphus mimosarum contig8886, whole genome shotgun sequence.
GCCUUCGUAGUGUAAGAGUAGCACACUCAGCCCGUAUUCUAGAGAUCCAGGUUCGAGUCCCGGCGAAGGCA